AGCGAACGCUGGCGGCAGGCCUAACACAUGCAAGUCGAACGAACCCUUCGGGGUUAGUGGCGGACGGGUGAGUAACACGUGGGAACGUGCCUUUAGGUUCGGAAUAACUCAGGGAAACUUGUGCUAAUACCGAAUGUGCCCUUCGGGGGAAAGAUUUAUCGCCUUUAGAGCGGCCCGCGUCUGAUUAGCUAGUUGGUGAGGUAAAGGCUCACCAAGGCUACGAUCAGUAGCUGGUCUGAGAGGAUGACCAGCCACAUUGGGACUGAGACACGGCCCAAACCCCUACGGGAGGCAGCAGUGGGGAAUCUUGCGCAAUGGGCGAAAGCCUGACGCAGCCAUGCCGCGUGGAUGAUGAAGGUCUUAGGAUUGUAAAAUCCUUUCACCGGUGAAGAUAAUGACUGUAGCCGGAGAAGAAGCCCCGACUAACUUCGUGCCAGCCGCCGCGGUAAAAC
rnacentral:rRNA from 1 species